rnacentral:rRNA from 1 species
UCGGGAAUUUUGGGCAAUGGGGGAAACCCUGACCCAGCCAUGCCGCGUGCGGGAAGAAGGCCUUCGGGUUGUAAACCGCUUUUGUCAGGGAAGAAACGGUCUGUCUUAAUACUGCGGACUAAUGACGGUACCUGAAGAAUAAGCACCGGCUAACUACGUGCCAGCAGCCGCGGUAAUACGUAGGGUGCAAGCGUUAAUCGGAAUUACUGGGCGUAAAGGGCGCGUAGGCGGCAAUUCAAGUCAUCUGUGAAAUCUCCGGGCUUAACUCGGAACGGUCAGAUGAUACUGCUUUGCUAGAGUGCAGAAGGGGCAAUCGGAAUUCUUGGUGUAGCGGUGAAAUGCGUAGAUAUCAAGAGGAACACCUGAGGUGAAGACGGGUUGCUGGGCUGACACUGACGCUGAGGCGCGAAAGCCAGGGGAGCAAACGGGAUUAGAUACCCAUGUAGUCCCUGAGCGGGCUGGCAAGGCGCAU